CCCCCCGAUAAGCGCAAAGAUAUCGUGCCGGAGGACCGAGAAUAGGAGUACUCUUACCACUCCAAAUUCCCAUUAUAGCUUAGGGUAGUGUGUAGACCGCUGAUUAUGUCGAGGGUUUGUUUUUGGAUUUGCACCCUUAGAAAUCGUAACAGACCCUUGACCGUUAGCGGAGUGACCAUGGGUGAAGGUACAGCUACUGAGAUGCCAUAGUACCUACCAAGGAGGCGAGCA